CCUACGGGCGGCUGCAGUGAGGAAUAUUGGUCAAUGGCCGGAAGGCUGAACCAGCCAUGCCGCGUGAAGGUCAGUGCCCUAUGGGCGUUAAACUUCUUUUGUGCGGGAGCAAUAAUGGUCACGUGUGGCCAGACGAGAGUACCGUACGAAUAAGCAUCGGCUAACUCCGUGCCAGCAGCCGCGGUAAUACGGGGGAUGCAAGCGUUAUCCGGAUUUAUUGGGUUUAAAGGGUGCGUAGGCUGUGAGGUAAGUCAGCGGUGAAAUGCCCCCGCUCAACGGGGUGAAGUGCCAUUGAUACUGCCUGGCUGGAGUGCAGAUGCGGUAGGAGGAAUGUGUGGUGUAGCGGUGAAAUGCAUAGAUAUCACACAGAACACCGAUUGCGAAGGCAUCUCACGAAUCCGCGAUUGACGCUGAUGCACGAAAGCGUGGGUAUCAAACAGGAUUAGAUACCCGGGUAGUC
rnacentral:rRNA from 1 species